rnacentral:rRNA from 1 species
AGAGUUUGACCCUGGCUCAGGAUGAACGCUAGCGAAAUGCCUAACACAUGCAAGUCGAACGGACCUUGCGUCGUAGCAAUACGUAGUAAGGUUAGUGGCAAACGAGCGAGUAACGCGUGCUUAACCUGCCCCGAAGUUGGGUAUAACUACAGAGAUGUAGCUAAUUCCCAAUAUGCUCACGAUGGUGAAAUCCCAAUGGGAGGAAAGAUUUAUCGCUUCGGGAGGGGGGUGCGUCCUAUCAGAUAGUUGGUGAGGUAACGGCUUACCAAGUCUAUGACGGGUAACCGGUCUGAGAUGAUGUCCGGUCGCGAUGGGACUGAGAUACGGCCCAUACUCCUACGGGAGGCAGCAGUGGGGAAUCUUGCACAAUGGACGAAAGUCUGAUGCAGCAAUUUCGCGUGAAGGAUGAAGCAUUACGGUGUGUAAACUUCUUUUUUGGCAGAAGACGAAUGACGGUAUGUCAAGAAUAAGAGACGGCUAACUACGUGCCAGCAGCCGCGGUAAUACGUAGGUCUCAAGCGUUAUCCGGAUUUACUGGGCGUAAAGUGUCCGUAAUCUGAAUUAUAAGUCUGUCUUCAAAGACCACGACUCAAUCGUGGGAAGGGGGUGGAUACUGUAAUUCUGGAAGUAUCUGGGGGUUAGUGGAAUUUCCGGUGGAGCGGUGAAAUGCGUUGAUAUCGGAAGGAACGCCGAAAGCGAAAGCAGCUAACUACAGAAUACUUGACGAUGAGGGACGACAGUUCGGGUAGCAAACAGGAUUAGAUACCCUGGUAGUCCGAACCGUAAAUUAUGCUUGCUAGAUGUUUUUGUCAAUUUAUUGGCAGGAGUGUCGUAAUCUAACGAGUUAAGCAAGUCGCCUGGGUAGUAUAUUCGCAAGAAUGAAACUCAAAGGGAUAGGCGGGGGAACACACAAGCAGUGGAUUAUCUAGAUUAAUUGGAUAAUAAGCCAAGAAUCUU